GUGGAUGCCUUGGCGUCAUAUGGCGAUGAAGGACGCAGCAAGCUGCGAUAAGCCUCGGGGAGCGGCAAACACGCUUUGAUCCGGGGAUUUCCGAAUGGGGAAACCCAAUGCCGGUAAUGCGGCAUUACUCCCAGCUGAAUAUAUAGGCUGGGUAGAGCAACACGCGGUGAAGUGAAACAUCUCAGUAACCGCAGGAAAAGAAAGAGAAUCGAUUCCGUAAGUAGCGGCGAGCGAAAGCGGAACAGCCCAAACCAGAAUGAUUUAUCGUUUUGGGGUUGUAGGACUAUAAUGUGAGGAGCAACGGAUAGAAGAACACUCUGGAAAGAGUGACCAUAGAGGGUGACAGUCCCGUAGUUGAAAUCCCGCGCCGAUCUAAUAGUAUCCUGAGUAGCACCGGACACGUGAAACCCGGUGUGAAUCUGCGCCGACCACGGCGUAAGGCUAAAUACAAGAUGACGACCGACAGUGAACUAGUACCGCGAGGGAAAGGUGAAAA
rnacentral:rRNA from 1 species